rnacentral:rRNA from 1 species
AAGUCGUAACAAGGUUUCCGUAGGUGAACCUGCGGAAGGAUCAUUAAUAAACCUAGUCGUUCGCGUACAUAGGGGCAACCCUCGCGUGAUGUCAGCAAUACCUAGGUAACCCUUGAAUAAACUACCCUUGUUGCUUUGGCGGGCCGCCGUCUCGGCCAGCGGCUUCGGCUGCUGCGCGCCCGCCAGAGGACCACAACUCUUGUUUUUAGUGAUGUCUGAGUACUAUAUAAUAGUUAAAACUUUCAACAACGGAUCUCUUGGUUCUGGCAUCGAUGAAGAACGCAGCGAAAUGCGAUAAGUAAUGUGAAUUGCAGAAUUCAGUGAAUCAUCGAAUCUUUGAACGCACAUUGCGCCCUUUGGUAUUCCGAAGGGCAUGCCUGUUCGAGCGUCAUUAUAACCACUCAAGCUCUCGCUUGGUAUUGGGGUGCGCGGUUCCGCGGCCUCUAAAGUCAGUGGCGGUGCCUGUCGGCUCUACGCGUAGUAAUACUCCUCGCGUCUGGGUCCGGUAGGUUGCUUGCCAACAACCCCCAAUUUUUUACAGGUUGACCUCGGAUCAGGUAGGGAUACCCGCUGAACUUAA